CACCGCGGUUAUACGAGAGACCCAAGUUGACAGACAAUCGGCGUAAAGAGUGGUUAAGUAUUAUACUUAACUAAAGCCAAACACCUUCAAAGCUGUUAUACGCACCCGAAGGUCAGAAGCCCAAUCACGAAAGUAGCUUUAAACUAACUGAACCCACGAAAGCUAGGGCA
rnacentral:rRNA from 1 species